UACGUAGGGUGCAAGCGUUGUCCGGAAUUAUUGGGCGUAAAGAGCUCGUAGGCGGUCUGUCGCGUCGGCUGUGAAAACCUAGGGCUCAACCCCGGGCCUGCAGACGAUACGGGCUAGCUAGAAUUCGGUAGGGGAGACUGGAAUUCCUGGUGUAGCGGUGAAAUGCGCAGAUAUCAGGAGGAACACCGGUGGCGAAGGCGGGUCUCUGGGCCGAUAUUGACGCUGAGGAGCGAAAGCGUGGGGAGCGAACAGG
rnacentral:rRNA from 1 species